UUGACCUCGGAUCAGGUAGGGAUACCCGCUGAACUUAAGCAUAUCAAUAAGCGGAGGAAAAGAAACCAACAGGGAUUGCCCUAGUAACGGCGAGUGAAGCGGCAACAGCUCAAAUUUGAAAUCUGGCGCAAGCCCGAGUUGUAAUUUGUAGAGGAUGCUUCUGGGUAGCGGCCGGUCUAAGUUCCUUGGAACAGGACGUCAUAGAGGGUGAGAAUCCCGUAUGUGACUGGCUUGCACCCUCCACGUAGCUCCUUCGACGAGUCGAGUUGUUUGGGAAUGCAGCUCUAAAUGGGAGGUAAAUUUCUUCUAAAGCUAAAUACCGGCCAGAGACCGAUAGCGCACAAGUAGAGUGAUCGAAAGAUGAAAAGCACUUUGGAAAGAGAGUUAAAAAGCACGUGAAAUUGUUGAAAGGGAAGCGCCCGCAACCAGACUUUGCGGCAGUGUUCGGCCGGUCUUCUGACCGGUUUACUCGCUGUCGUGAGGCCAUCAUCGUCUGGGACCGCUGGAUAAGACCUUAGGAAUGUGGCUCCCCUCGGGGAGUGUUAUAGCCUCUGGUGAUGCAGCGCGUCUCGGGCGAGGUCCGCGCUUCGGCAAGGAUGAUGGCGUAAUGGUUGUCGGCGGCCCGUCUUGAAACACGGACCAAGGAGUCUAACAUCUAUGCGAGUGUUCGGGUGUCAAACCCCUACGCGUAAUGAAAGUGAACGGAGGUGGGAACUUUUUGUGCACCAUCGACCGAUCCUGAUGUCCUCGGAUGGAUUUGAGUAAGAGCAUAGCUGUUGGGACCCGAAAGAUGGUGAACUAUGCCUGAAUAGGGUGAAGCCAGAGGAAACUCUGGUGGAGGCUCGCAGCGGUUCUGACGUGCAAAUCGAUCGUCAAAUUUGGGUAUAGGGGCGAAAGACUAAUCGAA
rnacentral:rRNA from 1 species